AAUGUCCACAAGAGUGAGUACUAGGUAGAUAAGCGCGAGGUUAGGUUUAUGUUUGUUUUCUUUAUUUGCAAAUGUGCAUUUGGCUGGAAGGAGUUUAAAUG